GGAAGAGGCUGAAUGUGGAGGUCUGGUCACUGGAAGAGGCUGAAUGUGGAGGUCUGGUCACUGGAAGAGGCUGAAUGUGGAGGUCUGGUCACUGGAAGAGGCUGAAUGUGGAGGUCUGUUCACUGGAAGAGGCUGAAUGUGGAGGUCUGUUCACUGGAAGAGGCUGAAUGUGGUCUGGUCACUGGAAGAGGCUGAAUGUGGAGGUCUGGUCACUGGAAGAGGCUGAAUGUGGUCUGGUCACUGGAAGAGGCUGAAUGUGGUCUGGUCACUGGAAGAGGCUGAAUGUGGAGGUCUGGUCACUGGAAGAGGCUGAAUGUGGAGGUCUGGUCACUGGAAGAGGCUGAAUGUGGAGGUCUGGUCACUGGAAGAGGCUGAAUGUGGUCUGUUCACUGGAAGAGGCUGAAUGUGGAGGUCUGGUCACUGGAAGAGGCUGAAUGUGGAGGUCUGGUCACUGGAAGAGGCUGAAUGUGGAGGUCUGGUCACUGGAAGAGGCUGAAUGUGGAGGUCUGUUCACUGGAAGAGGCUGAAUGUGGAG
rnacentral:lncRNA from 1 species